rnacentral:lncRNA from 1 species
CAAACCCAGUGCCUCACAUGUGUGACUGUUGAGCCACAACCAUUUUACAAAUGACUAAGCUGAGUUACACAGUUUCAAGAACUGUAAAAGUCUUGGAAUUUUAUAGUACUUGCAAGCUAAUAAACUAGACAGUCAUUGUUUUAUUGCUGUUUGUAGAAGACACAAGACUCCUGGGUCAGAAGCAAAGGACCUUAUUACUCACUGUACAGCAGGUAGCAUGAGUACAUGUUUGAUUUUGUUCCCUUGACUCCCAAGUUACAGGGGCUCUGCAGAGUAGCUUGGGUUGAUGUUACAUCCAAAAUGAGAAACUGUUACAUCCAAAACGAGAAACCUCCAAUUUAGGAAAUUGUAUCUUUAUAAUGGACUGAGCAAACUUGUCCUUUGUUCGAGAAGGAGACAGUGUCACUAUAUUCCAAGACUUUGUAUUCAAAAGAUACACGGAAAGAUAGUACAGGGACUGGAUUUGUGGCUGACUUAUUGGUAAGGCCCUUCCCUAGUAUGCAUGAGUUCCUGGGUUAGAUCCCCCAAACCAUACCUACACAUGCAUACAAAGAGCAGAACAAAAACUGAAAAUGCCGCUUCUUGCAGAACAUGCAAGGAUAGAAGAGGCCUGUGGGAAUUUGCCUCUCAUCUGAGAUGUUAAGAAAGUUUCCAAAGUUAAACAAGUAAUGAGUGGACUAACUCCAAGUUGGCCACAAGAGAUUUUCUCCACAUUUUCUUGAUUCAAAUAUUGUGCAGUUAAG